rnacentral:rRNA from 1 species
AACGAACGCUGGCGGCAUGCCUAACACAUGCAAGUCGAACGAGACCUUCGGGUCUAGUGGCGCACGGGUGCGUAACGCGUGGGGAUCUGCCCUUCGGUUGGGAAUAACUGAGAGAAAUUUCAGCUAAUACCUUAUAAUGUCUUCGGACCAAAGAUUUAUCGCCGAGGGAUGAGCCCGCGUAGGAUUAGGUAGUUGGUGGGGUAAUGGCCUACCAAGCCGACGAUCCUUAGCUGGUCUGAGAGGAUGAUCAGCCACACUGGGACUGAGACACGGCCCAGACUCCUACGGGAGGCAGCAGUGGUGAAUAUUGGACAAUGGGCGAAAGCCUGAUCCAGCAAUGCCGCGUGAGUGAUGAAGGCCUUAGGGUUGUAAAGCUCUUUUACCCGGGAUGAUAAUGACAGUACCGGGAGAAUAAGCUCCGGCUAACUCCGUG